UACGUAGGGGGCAAGCGUUGUUCGGAUUUACUGGGCGUAAAGGGCGCGUAGGCGGCGUGGUAAGUCACUUGUGAAAUCUCUGAGCUUAACUCAGAACGGCCAAGUGAUACUGCUGUGCUAGAGUGCAGAAGGGGCAAUCGGAAUUCUUGGUGUAGCGGUGAAAUGCGUAGAUAUCAAGAGGAACACCUGAGGUGAAGACGGGUUGCUGGGCUGACACUGACGCUGAGGCGCGAAAGCUAGGGGAGCAAACGGG
rnacentral:rRNA from 1 species